CCUACGGGUGGCAGCAGUGGGGGAUAUUGCACAAUGGGGGGAACCCUGAUGCAGCGACGCCGCGUGGGUGAAGGAGUGCUUCGGCAUGUAAAGCCCUAUCGGCAGGGAAGAAGCAAGACGGUACCUGACUAAGAAGCCCCGGCUAACUACGUGCUAGCAGCCGCGGUAAUACGUAGGGGGCGAGCGUUAUCCGGAUUACCUGGGUGUAAAGGGGGCGUAGACGGCAAUGCCAGACAGGGGUGAAAGCCCGGGGCACAACCCCGGGACUGCCCUUGGAACUGUGCGGCUAGAGUGCGGGAGGGGCAGGCGGAAUUCCGGGUGUAGCGGUGAAAUGCGUAGAUAUCAGGAGGAACACCGGCGGCGAAGGCGGCCUGCUGGACCGCGACUGACGUUGAGGCUCGAAAGCGUGGGGAGCGAACAGGAUUAGAUACCCCAGUAGUC
rnacentral:rRNA from 1 species